rnacentral:rRNA from 1 species
CCUACGGGUCGCACCAGUGGGGAAUAUUGGACAAUGGGCGAAAGCCUGAUCCAGCAAUGCCGCGUGUGUGAAGAAGGUCUUCGGAUUGUAUAGCACUUUCGACGGGGACGAUGGUGACGGUACCCGUAGGAGAAGCCCCGGCUAACUUCGUGCCAGCAGCCGCGGUAAUACGAAGGGGGCUAGCGUUGCUCGGAAUGACUGGGCGUAAAGGGCGCGUAGGCGGUUUAUGCAGUCAGAUGUGAAAUCCCCGGGCUUAACCUGGGAACUGCAUUUGAGACGCAUAGGCUAGAGGUCGAGAGAGGGUUGUGGAAUUCCCAGUGUAGAGGUGAAAUUCGUAGAUAUUGGGAAGAACACCGGUGGCGAAGGCGGCAACUUGGCUCGAUACUGACGCUGAGGCGCGAAAGCGUGGGGAGCAAACAGGAUUAGAUACCCUUGUAGUC